CUAUUUUACAGAUUAACAAACCAAGAAUUGGCAAAUUCAAGUAACUACCUUGCAGUCACACAACUAAGAGCUUGGAUUCAAACUCAAAUCUGUCUCCAAAUCGAGUACUUUGAAGACUAUGACUUAUAAAAGAAGUAGAACACACAUGCUUCCCAUUAGGUGAGAAAGAAACAUGCCUGAGAGUCUAAUGGAUUACUCAAGUCUGUGCUGCCAAGGAAGAACAGAAUCUUUAGGUCUUCUGUGCAAAGUUGUGUCCACCCCCAAAGUCUGAAGUGGCUCCAUUCACAAACUUACAUGGAAUUUGGACUUGGCCAUCUUUCCUUUCAAGAAUAUAUGAUAAAAUCAUGCUUCCCGUUCAAGAGGUUCACUCUGGGUAUAGACGGCAUUUCUGAAAACAUGGCAUUGACUGACAUUAUUGACAGUGGACUGGGAAUGGAAAGAUCAGAGUUCUUUGCAUGGCUGAGCAUCUUACUUUUCCUUGAUCUUGGGAAGGAAGGCGCCUUCUCUGAUGGAGAUUAUCUGUCAGUGAAACUAGAUUUUUAAGUUGCAGCCCUGGGCUUAUGGUGAAUUGGCAAGCACGUGUGAGAAAGAUCAUGUUGUCUUAAGCAACUUUGAUUCCAAGAGAAGAAGAGUAAUAUGAGUACUCCAGUCCAGUCACCUGAUGAGAGAUUCCUGAAGGGAGAACUUGCAUCUUCAAAGCGUUGGAGGUAGAAGGAAGACAGGCAGAAGGACAUCCCAGAAUCAACCCAGAAUGUGGUGGAAGUGACUGCAUCAACCCUGAGCCGACACACCCAGAAGCCUUGCAGACUUCUACUUCCUGCCUUGGAAUCCUGACAAGCCACUACUUAAGCAAAUGUGAGCUACCCUUUUAGUGGUGGUUACAUGGGAUUAGAUGAGAUACAUGGGGCCCGGAUUCCUGAUUGCCCCACUUGACAGCUGAGAAACACCUGGGAGCAGGGCUGCCCAGCUAACAUCUGCUGACUGCAGAUGAAUGAACAAGCCCAGCCAGAUAGAGAAGAAACAGUCAGCUGGGCCAUAAACAAUGUUUUGUAAUAAUCGUUUAUUUAUAUGGUUUACAUUUUGUUUAACUCUCAUUUUUUAAUGGGAAUAGGACUUUUUUAUUGUGGUAAAAUGUACAUAAUGAAAAUUUACCAUUUUAACUAUUUUAGCUGUACAAUUCAGUGGCAUUCAAUGUUGUGCAAUGCUCACAACUACUUCCAACUUUUUUCAUUAUUCCAAACAGAAACUCUAUGCCAUUAAGCAAUAACUUUUGAUUCUUCCCAUCCCCAGCUCUUGGUAAUCUCGAUUCUACUUUCUGCCUAUAUGAAUUUGCCUAUUUUAGACACCCCACAUAAGUAGAAUCAUACAAUAUUUGUUCUUUUGUAUUUGACUUACUUUACUUGGCAUAUUUUCAAGGUUCAUCAUGUUGUAUUAUGUAUUAGACUUUUAUUUCUACUUAUGGCCGAAUAUCAUCCUGUGGUAGAUAGA
rnacentral:lncRNA from 1 species